rnacentral:rRNA from 1 species
UACAGGGGGUGCAAACGUUGCUCGGAAUCAUUGGGCGUAAAGCGCACGUAGGCGGUUCGUUAUGUCGGAUGUGAAAGCCCUCAGCUCAACUGAGGAAGUGCGCCCGAAACUGCAGAGCUUGAGUGCCGGAGAGGGUGGCGGAAUUCCCCAAGUAGAGGUGAAAUUCGUAGAUAUGGGGGAGGAACACCGGUGGCGAAGGCGGCCACCCUGGGACGGGUAACUGACGCUGAGACGCGAAAGCGUGGGGAGCAAACAGG